rnacentral:rRNA from 1 species
ACCACUUGCCAUACCACGUAGAAAGCAUCGAAGUUAAACUACGUCGGGCCGGGUUAGUACUUGCGUAGGUGACGGGAUGGGAAUACCCGAUGUUGCUGACU